rnacentral:rRNA from 1 species
UACGUAGGGUGCGAGCGUUAAUCGGAAUUACUGGGCGUAAAGUGUGCGCAGGCGGCAGAGCAAGUCGAGUGUGAAAGCCCCGGGCUUAACUUGGGAAUUGCGCUCGAAACUACUUUGCUGGAGUGUGGCAGAGGAAGGUGGAAUUCCACGUGUAGCGGUGAAAUGCGUAGAGAUCCGGAAGAACACCAGUGGCGAAGGCGGCCCGCUGGGCAGUGGCUGACGCUGAGGCGCGACAGCGUGGGGAGCAAACAGG